CAGCAUGAUGGAAAAGUGGAGAAGCUGCCCCAGAGAGACCAGAGAAAGAAGAAGAAGCAAACGUUCUCCCUGAACCCUCGGAUA